UACGUAGGGACCAAGCGUUGUUCGGAUUUACUGGGCGUAAAGGGCGCGUAGGCGGAAAUUCAAGUCAUCUGUGAAAUCUCCGGGCUUAACUCGGAACGGUCAGAUGAUACUGCUUUGCUAGAGUGCGGAAGGGGCAAUCGGAAUUCUCGGUGUAGCGGUGAAAUGCGUAGAUAUCGAGAGGAACACCUGAGGUGAAGACGGGUUGCUGGGCCGACACUGACGCUGAGUGCGCGAAAGCCAGGGGAGCAAACGGG
rnacentral:rRNA from 1 species